AACGAACGCUGGCGGCAUGCCUAACACAUGCAAGUCGAACGAGACCUUCGGGUCUAGUGGCGCACGGGUGCGUAACGCGUGGGAACCUGCCCUUAGGUUCGGAAUAACUCCCCGAAAGGGGUGCUAAUACCGGAUAAUGUCUUCGGACCAAAGAUUUAUCGCCUUUGGAUGGGCCCGCGUUGGAUUAGCCAGUUGGUAGGGUAAAAGCCUACCAAGGCGACGAUCCAUAGCUGGUCUGAGAGGAGGAUCAGCCACACUGGGACUGAGACACGGCCCAGACUCCUACGGGAGGCAGCAGUGGGGAAUAUUGGACAAUGGGCGAAAGCCUGAUCCAGCAAUGCCGCGUGAGUGAUGAAGGCCUUAGGGUUGUAAAGCUCUUUUACCCGGGAUGAUAAUGACAGUACCGGGAGAAUAAGCUCCGGCUAACUCCGUG
rnacentral:rRNA from 1 species